CUUUCGGGAUCUUGAGAGCGGCGUACGGGUGCGGAACACGUGUGCAACCUGCCUUUAUCUGGGGGAUAGCCUUUCGAAAGGAAGAUUAAUACCCCAUAAUAUACUGAAUGGCAUCAUUCGGUAUUGAAAACUCCGGUGGAUAGAGAUGGGCACGCGCAAGAUUAGAUAGUUGGUGAGGUAACGGCUCACCAAGUCUGCGAUCUUUAGGGGGCCUGAGAGGGUGAUCCCCCACACUGGUACUGAGACACGGACCAGACUCCUACGGGAGGCAGCAGUGAGGAAUAUUGGACAAUGGGUGAGAGCCUGAUCCAGCCAUCCCGCGUGAAGGACGACGGCCCUAUGGGUUGUAAACUUCUUUUGUAUAGGGAUAAACCUACCCUCGUGAGGGUAGCUGAAGGUACUAUACGAAUAAGCACCGGCUAACUCCGUGCCAGCAGCCGCGGUAAUACGGAGGGUGCAAGCGUUAUCCGGAUUUAUUGGGUUUAAAGGGUCCGUAGGCGGAUCUGUAAGUCAGUGGUGAAAUCUCACAGCUUAACUGUGAAACUGCCAUUGAUACUGCAGGUCUUGAGUGUUGUUGAAGUAGCUGGAAUAAGUAGUGUAGCGGUGAAAUGCAUAGAUAUUACUUAGAACACCAAUUGCGAAGGCAGGUUACUAAGCAACAACUGACGCUGAUGGACGAAAGCGUGGGGAGCGAACAGGAUUAGAUACCCUGGUAGUCCACGCCGUAAACGAUGCUAACUCGUUUUUGGAAUGUAAGUUUCAGAGACUAAGCGAAAGUGAUAAGUUAGCCACCUGGGGAGUACGAACGCAAGUUUGAAACUCAAAGGAAUUGACGGGGGCCCGCACAAGCGGUGGAUUAUGUGGUUUAAUUCGAUGAUACGCGAGGAACCUUACCAAGGCUUAAAUGGGAAAUGACAGGUUUAGAAAUAGACUUUUCUUCGGACAUUUUUCAAGGUGCUGCAUGGUUGUCGUCAGCUCGUGCCGUGAGGUGUUAGGUUAAGUCCUGCAACGAGCGCAACCCCUGUCACUAGUUGCCAUCAUUAAGUUGGGGACUCUAGUGAGACUGCCUACGCAAGUAGAGAGGAAGGUGGGGAUGACGUCAAAUCAUCACGGCCCUUACGCCUUGGGCCACACACGUAAUACAAUGGCCGGUACAGAGGGCAGCUACACUGCGAAGUGAUGCAAAUCUCGAAAGCCGGUCUCAGUUCGGAUUGGAGUCUGCAACUCGACUCUAUGAAGCUGGAAUCGCUAGUAAUCGCGCAUCAGCCAUGGCGCGGUGAAUACGUUCCCGGGCCUUGUACACACCGCCCGUCAAGCCAUGGAAGUCUGGGGUACCUGAAGUCGGUGACC
rnacentral:rRNA from 1 species